ensembl:lncRNA
UAUAUAUAUAUAUAUAUAUAUAUAUAUAAUAACAUCAUGGAGGACAGGAAGCAGGGAAUCAGAGAGAAAUAGGAAUGGAGUAGCUUAACCUAAAGAGUUUGCUUCAGAGAGAAUCACACAGAAUUAACACCGAUAUAUUCACAUUUUAAUGGAUACUGAAUUGUUAAAUAGGAUAUAGAUACAAAAAUGUGAAGAGAAGAAAAUUCUUUUUAUUUUUUUAUUUUUUUAUAUAUGUUUUUCUGAUCAGAUGUGACAGUUUCUAGAAUAUUUUUUUUAAAUAAGUUUUUGAAAUAAUAAGUUUUCUCAUAUUAAUCAUUUUUUAUGGGUAUUUCCUGUUUUUGUUGUUUGUUUUGGUUGGUCCUUUUUGCCAAGAAUUGAUUAUUGUGCCCAGUGCACCCUCUUUCAGCAGGUUCACAGCAGAGCGUGAGGUGGGACACCAGAGCUUCACCACCGUCCCUGGAAACAUGUUUCUCUGGUCGAGGUGGUUUUCAUUCAUGGCACAUUUAAUGACCGUUUUGUUUGUUUGUUUUUUUUCUCCUCUGCUCUCAGUUGGUUGUUGGUGUUGUCAGUGGUGUUGUGACUCCUGCCAGAGGGAACGCCACCACAUUGUCCUGCAGAAACAUUUCUGCUGGUGAUAUUUACACGUACCCAGUGCCGUCUUAUAUACCAUCUGCUGUACUGUGGAACAAGGACUGUGAGCAAGAGUGUUACAAUGAGGAAGGGGAGUUUUUGUCAGAUGGACGACAACAAGCAAAUAAAACUGAGCACCUACUGGUUCUUAAUGAAACCAUAAACAUCGCAGUCUCUGAAUGCAUCAAUCUUCACCAUUCUGUGACCUGUCAUGGAUCAAAUGAAAAGUGAUCAAUGACACGAUCUCAAGCCAAGAUGUUCCUAAGCAGCAAACCGAUCGCACCACCACCAUCGUCUCUGUCGUCAUUCCGAUUGGACUCCUGCUGAUUGGACUCCUGAUUAGUGUCCUGAUAUGUCUCCACAAAAAACGAAGAUUGAGAAUUGGAGUCUGGGGGAAACGGUUGAGUGGCUGCUGUCAACAAACAGAUGAGACUAAGGAAUCAGACAUCCCACUGGAGGACAUUACAGCAAGAAACACGGAAGGUGAAGCUCAACUGAACACCUCAAAUACUGAAAACAUGGACCCUGGUGAUACGAGCGCUAACGGCGAUGUUCAAACUGAAGAAGCUCGACCACUCCAACCAUAUCCUUACAGUUGAUGUGUGCAGAGUCGUCGAGAGCGAGUGAGGAUUACGGUUCGGCUUCAGAACUUCUCUCCAGUCUGCUUCUGCCUUUUCUUCAGUCGCACUUUCCCUACACUUUUGCAUCUGGGACACUUUGAAAGUAAAAUUAAGUAGUUAAACUGAGACCGUGGUAUUAUAGGGCUCUACAUAAAAGUGCCAAAUUUUUAAUCAUGACAAAGCAGAUCAAAUUUUUAUACUUUAAUAGUGUUUUGGUGUAAAAAAUAUAUUUUCAUAUAUAUUACUUGCUAUAAAAAUAACAUUUAUAAGAACUAAUUUUUGCCAAAGAAAGGGAAGCUCAAACCAAAGAACCCCAAGAAAAAAAAAAAAACACUUUUCUGCACUUUAAAACACUGCACAUCCUUCUGCACUUUUGUUAUGCUCUACCCUUUUAACUGUGACGAUAGCUGGGGCUGGGCAGCUUCGAGUUGUCAACACUCACCUGAUUGCGCUCCUGGUUUUGACUGCUUCAUCCGAUCCGUGUUUUACUCUGCUAUUUCCGGUAUUGAACUGUGCCAGUUGUGACUAUGAACUUGAUCUUUGCCUUGAUUUUUGUUGGCUACGUAGCUACUGUGUGUGGGAGGCUGCACCAGAACAUCUCUACUACCCUACUACACAGUAGAUGAAAAGCAGUACACCAAAGGAGGAGCAUCUCAGAAUUCUCAGCAUUCAUACAACAGUAUUUAAGAAAUCCCCAGAUGACCUACUGCUUCCCCCGAGAUUCUGCAGUGUGGAAUAACUGGACACUGUGCUAUCCCAUAAUGCAACGUGGCAUGGAAGAGCUGUCAGAAUCAAACCUGGCGCAUCGGCUUUUUAAGCUGUAGGUCACAUGACUAUGCCAACCUGGUGGCUGUAGUGCUUAUAAGCCCUUUCCUUAACUUGCACUGUGGGGCCAAACCUUAGACUGGGUUGUCAUCAACACUACUCUACGUCAUUGAAUCAACGCUAUAGAGAGCACAGCUGGUGGCUUCAUCAGCAGCCCAGUGCUUGUUCCUUUUUAUUU